AUGUGUCUUAUUGAUUGGUUAACCUGUGUCUCAGUUUGAUAUUGUCCUCUUUUGUUUUUGUUGUAAGUUGCAAUUUGAAAUUUUCAAUUAGUCAACAAGACUUAUGUUGUCAACAGUGCGUCAUAACAGAAUAGCGUAGCGGUGUAAGGUCGGUGCGGCGCUUUUUGCCAGCGAGCCUUUGUCGACAAUAGAGGUUGUAGUGGCUGCUAUAUAUGCGGUGAAAUUUCGGCCUCAAACCGCUUCUAUCACAUCCGCUAUUAGGAUUUCAGAAAUAAACUCCCGAAUUCUUUUUUUAAAACCAUUUUUUUUGCAGAUUAAAAGUUCAUUGUAUAUCAUUUGAUAAAUGGUGUUUCUUUCAAUUUUUAUCAGCUGUAGGCACUGUGGCAUCAGUGAGAAGUGCACGCCAAUGAUGCGACGUGGACCUGAAGGGCCAAGAACCCUCUGCAAUGCUUGUAGACUUAUGUGGGCAAAUAAGGGAGCUCUUAGGGACCUAUCAAGAGCUGCAACCUUGCCAACACACAAUUCUCCACUAAACAAGAAUGAGAGUCAAAAUUUGGAGAACAAUCAGAUAGUGCUUAGAGAUGCUGCUGAAUCAUCAUGACAGACCUUAUAUCGCAUUACACUUACAUUACGGCGAUCCACAGUGGUUUCUCCAACUAAAUUGUUGGAUUCACACUCUAUUUGCUAGCUGGCUCUGAGUGAGAAAGGCUAUGAACUUGUUUCCGGUGGGACUGAAAAUCAUCUAGUUUUGGUGAAUAUGAAGAAAAAGGUAACCCGAUAACUACUUUGACUUUGCUUGAGAAGAUGAAGUCGGUGUACACGAAUGUAGAAGGUCUUCCUCCGGAUUGAAUUGUGGAAAACAAUUGCUUCUCCAGGGCGUGGUAUUUUGGCCAUGGAUGAAUCCAAUAGUACAUGUGGAAAGCGAUUGGAUUCAAUUGCACUAGAGAACAACCGAAGCUAACCGUCAAGCAUGGCGUAAAAUUAUAUAUGAAGAAAGUGUUAUGACUUGGUUAAAAUAUAAUUUUUAUGUGUAUGAUUUUAUAGUACUUG